AAAACAGAAAUCUCUUACUUGUUUGUACCGUUUUUUUCCAUUUUUUUAUCUAUUCGUACUCUAUGUU
rnacentral:ribozyme from 1 species